GAUCCUUCGGGAUUAGUGGCAGACGGGUGAGUAACGCGUGGGAAGCUACCUUGUGGUAGGGGACAACAGUUGGAAACGACUGCUAAUACCCUAUGAGCCCUAUGGGGGAAAGAUUUAUCGCCAUGAGAUGUGCCCGCGUUAGAUUAGCUAGUUGGUAAGGUAAUGGCUUACCAAGGCGACGAUCUAUAGCUGGUCUGAGAGGAUGAUCAGCCACACUGGGACUGAGACACGGCCCAGACUCCUACGGGAGGCAGCAGUGGGGAAUAUUGGACAAUGGGGGCAACCCUGAUCCAGCCAUGCCGCGUGUGUGAUGACGGCCUUAGGGUUGUAAAGCACUUUCAGCAGUGAAGAUAAUGACAUUAACUGCAGAAGAAGCCCCGGCUAACUUCGUGCCAGCAGCCGCGGUAAUACGAAGGGGGCUAGCGUUGUUCGGAAUCACUGGGCGUAAAGAGUACGUAGGCGGACUGAUAAGUUAGGGGUGAAAUCCCAAGGCUCAACCUUGGAACUGCCUUUGAUACUGUCAGUCUUGAGAUCGAGAGAGGUGAGUGGAACUCCGAGUGUAGAGGUGAAAUUCGUAGAUAUUCGGAAGNAACACCAGUGGCGAAGGCGGCUCACUGGCUCGAUACUGACGCUGAGGUACGAAAGCGUGGGGAGCAAACAGGAUUAGAUACCCCUGGUAGUCCACGCCGUAAACCGAUGAAUGCUAGUUGUCAGGUAGCUUGCUAUUUGG
rnacentral:rRNA from 1 species